CCCAAAGGGAAGUCGAGUCAGCCUGCACCUCCUCUGCAUUGCUGGCUGGAGUCCUGUGGGCUUCCACCUCUAGGCUUUGCCCCUCCAAGGCCUAAUGGCACUUCUGCAGCCCCUGCAUACUAGCUGGUCCCUUUGCCCCAAAGGGGACAUAUUCCCACUUUUCAUUGUAGCUUCUCCUCGCCUUUUGGGUUGAUGAAGUCCUUACAGUUGGGUUGCUGCCUCAGUUUCCCAACACUGACCUCCUCCUCGUCACCAUUAGGACUGAACUCCUUGGAUGGGCCAGAGCAUCUGUUCAGUACCCAUCAUGGGUGGCCCAAAGGCCCAGAAUCCCAUCCCUGCAGCCUGCUCGUUGCAGUCCCCUGGGCAGCCACUCUACCCUACCGCACUUGAAGUUCCCAGGCCUUGAUCUUUACUCUCUACUCCCCGAGACGCUCUCCAGCCCCUCUGCUCCUUCAGAUUUUACCUGGAUUCUGCUUGACACAUGUGCUCUGAACCCUUGUGAGCCCAGACCUGUCCCCAGCUCUGCUCUGAGGAAGACAAGAGGAGAUGUGGCCCCUGCCUGUACAGGCUGUCACACAACUCGGUGGGAUUGUAGGUGGAACUCCCCUGUCCUACAGAUGGGCAGAACCUGGAGAGGGGCCUAGACUGCCUGAAAUCAGAGACACUGCCACGCUGAAGACACCAGAGCCCAGUCCUCAGGCUUUUCCUGGAAAGCAAUGCCCUUCCAUCCUGGCCUGGAGCAGAGGCUCAGCAUAGUGGAGGGGAUGGUGGGGAGCCACCUUGGGCUCAUCUUGUUCUCUCUGAAAGCCUUAGGUCCUCACCCUCAGGACCCAGCCUGGAAAGGCAAGACUACAGAGGACAGAGCCUUCUGGGAGUCAGGAGGCCAGAGGGCUCUUGGUGAGCUACUUCUUUUCUCUGAACCUCAAUUUCCUUCUCUGUGAAAUGGGGGCACUCCCAUCUGGGCUGUGAAGAUCAAAGGAGGAAAAGGUGGUUAAAACCCUCUUUAAACUAUAGGCACAAGGUACCUGGGAGGAAGUGAUACAACCUUGAGUCCUUUCUCUGUUGUUUUUCCAGCGAGUCUCAGAAGUUAGGAUUCUGAUCCUUCAAAUGAGGUGACAGUCAAGCCAGUCCCAUGUAAACAGGGAUGAGGAGAAAGAAGGGGAGAUCCAAGUGCCCAGGGAGGAGGGACAAGGACUCACAGACCAUUUUCACCACCCCACCACCAUCAUUUCUGUCUCCUUCCACAGACCCCUCAUCCUUCCCUCCCAGGUCCUCAUCCCUUCACAGGAAGCAGCACAGCAUAAGGACAGGAACAUGGGCUUAGGAGUCAAGUACAUAGGCCCUGCUUCUGAAUUCUGGCUUUGCCACUUAACUAGCUGUGUGACUCUAGGCAAGUUGCUGAACUGCUCUGAGCCUCAGUUUCCUCAUCUGAAAAGUAAGAACAGUGAUAUCUUUCUCCUAAGGUCAUUGGGAUUCUGUGUAUAAACACAGGACACCAGGUACUUAGUAGGUACAAGGCACUUGACCACUGCAAGAGGCUUAGGCCCUGCAAAAAUAAACACUCUCUUGGUUGACUUGUAAGUGAUGGCUCCUAGUGCUAAACACUCCUAAGUUGUUUGUUCUGCAGCAGAUUUGGAGUCUCAGAGUGAUGCGAUCCUCUCACUGAAAAGAUGAGGAGGCAGGCCCAAGAGCAGCGACUCACUCAAGGUCACCCAGGGAACCACGACAGAGCUAGAGCUUGAACACAGGUGUCCAGCACCUCGCCUAGGCCUCUUACGCUCACGUCAAUGCUAAGUCAGAUUAUUGUUUUAAACAGAGAGGACACUGGAGAUCACCCAAUCAGACUCCCUUCCACGCUCAAAGGAAUUGACGCCAGAGAAGUAUGAUAAUAAGGUAAUAAGGUAAUUGGGAGGGCAGGAGUUUCUCCUGCCAAUGCACAGACAAGCUAAGAAGCUAAGCCCAAUGGUAAGAAUGACACGCUGAAAGCCACCUGCAAACCCACAGAAGGACUACACGUAGAUACCACCGAGGAAGAGGGUGAAGACUCCAGAUCAGGCCUUGCUUGGCUUCAGCCUGUGUCCCCUGAUGAUAAUGCAGCAUCAGCCUGCCUCUCCCUGGGCCCAACUCUGAUCACAGCAGAGGAGUUUAAACAGCUUCAGAUUAAAUUCCAUUUGCUACAAAAAGUCUGGCCCUAUCUCCGUGCCCUAGGAUGGGUAACUGAUCGUCCCCUCAUUCAUAUUCAUCCUGUAGUCAUUACAGACAUCUGUGUGCCAGGCCCUGGGCUGGGAGCAGUGGAGUGUACAGAAAUGAGUUGGGUAUGUUCCUUCCCCUCAAGGACGACCGUCUACUGGGGGAAACACAAGUGGGCAAAUCACAAUACAAAAUAACCCCUGCUGUAACAGGCAGCUCGGGAGGGUGUGGAAGCCCAGAGAAGAGUAGGAUUUUCCAAAACCCAGAUGUUUCCUUCCCCCAGGCCCAUUCACUCUUGCUUUGCCUUGACUGGGGGAACAGUUUCUCCCCAGUCCAUACCACUGGGCUUUGCAGGCCCAGCUCACUGGCCUACGCUAAAAGGA